CUCAGCCAGUGUAGUCGGAGUGGAGUCGGCCACAGCAGGAUCAAGACUGGGGAGAGCUUGGCUGGCAUGGCUGCCCCAAGGCCAAGGAAAGGGCCCACAUGGUCAGGAGACUGAUUCCACAGAUGGGGCUUGAACAGGGUGCUUACCACUAUCAACGUAUUACACAUGCAUUUGCCAAUUUUCUACCUUGUCCACGAGGCCGAGACCUUUCGUCUGCUUUUUGUCACCGUUAGAUUUGUGCCUGGCACAGACUAGGUAGUGAGUGACCUCUGGAGGCAAUUGGAAAAAGUACCUGCCACUUUCAGAACUGAAGAAGCGGGGAGAAUUAGAAAGUAGUAGAUCCUUCCAUUUAGCGGUUUUUGUUUUUUUGCAAGUUUAAUC